AGGCGAUACCCAAUUUCGAGACUGAUAAGCUUUCAGGUACUUUCUCAUGGACUCCACUGCAACAACUUGAUGUAAGUUCAAUGCUUGGUUUGGGGAAUAAGCAUCCUAAUAUAAAGAACUUGCAGAGAGUGCAAGGCUACAGCAAAUUAACAGUUGUGGGGACAGAUAUAAGUUAAAAAAUGAUCAAAUUUUGAUACUGCCACAUUGUGCAGCAGAAUUGAUGCUCGAGGACCCUAUAGACUUAACAGUGAUAUUAAGGAGGAUAAAGGUAUGGAUUGUGUUUUUAGGUGAACAUGUUCUAAUAUUCUUGUGUAGAGUUUGGUGCUUUUGCCAGUGUUAUUCUUUAUGCAUAAAUUCUCUUGUGGGUUAGUGGGUAUAUCGAAAUUUGAAGUGGUAACAGAACAUUGCAUUUAUCAAUUUUCCAUGAAGUCUUUUCACUUUAAGAUUGGCCUAAAGGUCUCAAAUAGAUCUGCUGGGCUAGUUUACGUUCUCUACCAUUCAGACUUACUGGCCACGAACUAAUUCUAAACGCGGUUGAACAGUUCUCAGAUCUCUCAUCUCUGAGUAGACUCGAACCAAAAACUAUGUGGUCAACAAUUGUGCUAUUAACAAUUCUACUUCCAUUAAAUUAGGUGUGUUGUUCUGACGAUCAUACCCGUGCAUAUUUUUUACAUUUGUAUGGCUAGAGAACAGACUUCCACAACGACCAUAUCGACAGACAAUGACCAUAUCGACAGACAAUGACCCAUGGAUAGCUUUUCGAUGAUAUAUACAAUACUCUCACAUGUUAUUUCAAUGUCUGCCUCUGCCUAAUUGCUUUUACCUCUCUUCUAGACAAUUUCUCUUCCUGCCUAUCCACUCUUUCCUCUGCAACCUUGCUGGCUAACUGUUGCAGCAGUUCUAAAAUUUCAGAGAAAUCAGGUCUUAAAGAUGGGUCUGUCUGCCAGCAUCUCUCAAACAGUUCCACCAAUUUAGGAUGAGUAUGCUUUGGGAUAGAAGGCCUCAAACCCUGCUGGACCACACCAACAGCCGCUUGUAGUGGGGUUAAGUGCUCAUAUGGAAGCUUUCCUGUAAGCAGCUCCCACAACACAAUGCUGAAGCUGAAAACAUCAACUUUAUGAUCAUAAGGCUUAUGCUCAAUAACCUUUUUACGCAUCAAACACCAAACAAACAUGCAUUAGACAGCCGGGAUAAACAACCAAAGGCACAAAACAUUAAUCAAUCAUCAUCAAGCCAUUUUGUUCAUAAUAAAAUCUAAGUUAUAGAGCUUGCUACUAUAAAAUUAUAAAAAUUUGAAUUACUAUAAGUUCAUGGUUUGGAAGCAUCCAGUCCAGUAUGCAUAAAGAAAUCCAUUGAGGGCAUUACUCCAAUAAAGUAUCAGAGGAAUCAUGCAUUCAUGCUUCCAAGAAACUUCCAUGACUAGUAAAAUUAGCACUAAAUCUAAUUCUCAACUAAAUCACAAAGCAAUGAGGAUAUUGCUGCAUCCAGCUUAAGUCCCGAUUAUUGUUCAGUCCAUUCGUUGUUAAAUCCAAAAUCAAAGACUCACUACCUCAACCUAAACACUGUAAUUUGUGCGAGCCAGUGGAUUUCACCAUCUAUUGUUAUUUGCUUCAAGUUUGCACCAUGCCCAAAUUCAGGAGUCUCUAAUCCUUUAUGUGCUCAUGCAAUCAUUCAAAAUUAACACAAAUAUAGUUUAGUUGCCCUCAAAUAAUUUGGUACUUGGUAGAAGCUCAGAAUUAUAGGCUCAUUCCUCUUUAAUUUCGCUUUGAGAGUUCUAGUAGCUUGGAGUCACACAAACCAUUUACUGAGGGCAGUUGGUUCUCCAAUCUGCAUCAUACUCACUAGCACCUUUAUAGCUACCCGUAUGACAACUUGAUAUUAGCAAUAAUCUUGCAUUAUGGUCAACAUUCAUUUAUGAGCACACGUAGAACACCAACCUCUGGAGCCAUCCAGCGAUAUGUUCCGGUUUCUGCUGUCAUCACACUAGACUGAUCUUGUACUCUAGCAACGCCAAAAUCAGCAACCUUAACCACUUCAUUUUCAUCCAUGAGAAGAUUUGCAGCCUUCAAAUCUCUGUGGAUUAUAUUAUUUUGGUGCAAGUAGCUCAUUCCUUUAGAAACAUCUAUUGCCACUUUAAGUAGGGAUGGGGGCUUAAAGACACCCUUCUGUUUGUGUAGGUAGUCGUAGACACUUCCACCUGACAUAAAUUCUGUUACAAUGCACAAACUUGGAGGCUUCGUACAUGCACCUAUAAACUGUACAACAUUCUUAUGCCGAACCUUCCUCAUUAUGAAGACUUCCUGGGCAAACUCUUUCUGCAUAUCCGAAUCUAUACGCUCAGGUUUGAGGACUUUAAUAGCUACUUCCUGACUACAGUACGUACCCUUGUACAGAUCACCAUAUGAUCCAGAUGCAACUUUGUUUUCAAUUUUUAACUGACUGCUAUCAAUUUCCCAGACAUCAGUUCCAUCACUAGGUAUUUCUAUGCAGUCAGGAAAAGAUUCGACCCUCAUUUCAUUCUGCUUGCUCGCAGCAGAAACAGAAGCUUGUUUUGAACAACUCUGCUCCUGCAGAAGAUUACAAUUUAUCAAAACUAUGCCAUAAUUUUGCUUCAGGUUGAUCUAUCAUAUGGUACUGCAAAAGAGUCGAACUGAACUUUUUAGCCAUGCAAAAGUUAAUAUUCAGAGCUCAAUACUGGCUGUCAUAAUGAUCCUGUUCAUCAGUGAUGCUAUAAGGAAAUUAUCUCAAAUGCAGAAUCCUAUCUGAUUUCCAUGAUCCACAAUCAGUGGCACACUGGUUCCAGGAAUUACAACAUUAUAAAACAAAACAAACCCCAAUGAGAUACACAGAACAUUGUAAGUUAAUUAUUUGAAGGGUCUAAUCUAGUCGAACUCUCAGCACAAAAUUCAUAAAUGUUUUCAACGUUUCAAGAACCAGAAACAAACAAAAUUUGCAGUUCUGAAUAAAAUGAUCAAGGACUAUAUUCAUAAAUUACUUAUUUAAAAACGAUUAUCACAAUUGCAAUGAGUUCACCACCUCACUAGUUGCCACAUAUACUGGGAAACAAACAAGGACCAAAAUAACAUAUCUAAAUGUGCUUCAAUUGAACAUUAAAAAACUUCAAGAAUACAUGGUGAAGUAAAAAUGAAGCAACCACUUUAUAAGCACCAACACUAGUCAUUCAUAUCAUCUGAGGUCCCUUAGGGAUGACUGAACUCAACCCCAAUUUGGUUGGGGAGGUUUACUACAUCAACGACAAUCAGCUCUGUUUAGGGUCAUACUUUCCAGCAUCUGCUGAGUUCAAAGUUGCCUAAGAUAUACAUUAAUUACAAGAAAGGUUGUUAGCACCACACAUCAACAAAUAAAUACACAGGUUUAUUCAGCUAGAAUACUAAUAUAGCAUUGCAAAUUUCAAACAAUCAAGAACAUAUCGUAUUCAAGUUCUAGAGGUGCACAGUUGUAACCCCCCAAAAGACAAAGCAGCAUGGAGAAAAACUACCUUAAACUUUAAGAUUUCCUUUUCAAGAGCAUUUUUAAGCUCCUCAGUUUCCUGAAGUUUCCAUAUGCAAUUAUGUGAAGCAACACAGAAAUGUGAACAAAAAGGCGUUAGUCUGGCAAUUAGCUUACUAUUAUUAUUCAAAAUAAUAAAAAUAAGCUUGUUUACCUAAGCAAGAAAAGGUUUAAACACAAACGAAUCACUGUUAAACAGCCAAGUACAACGAAAAAAGUAAAAGUGGUCUGAAGACAACAUCAAACAAUUUAAUGGAAUUUUAUUUUAUGGAUAAUGAGAACCUAAAAAUACUAAUGAAGGCUGACAGUUUCAAAGUCAUCUCUUAAUUCAACUUUGACUUAAAACCAAAUUCAACAAUAUUGGAAUUUCCAUGCUCAAUUGAAUAUAUUACAGUUAUGUCUCUUAUUUGGUGAAUAAAAUAAUCAAAACCUGAACAUGUGCAAAGAUUUGGAAAUUAUAAUUGAAGGGUAACAUUCUUCUGCAGUUCUACAAUGAGGCUGCUCAAAUUAGAACUGUUAAGUGGAUCUAAAAGAAUACAGAAUCAUGGGUCAGGAUGUUAGCAUAGCAAACAAACGAGCAGAUGAAAACAACCAAACAGAAAGAGAAGAGAGGAAAAAAGAAAAAGAAAAAGAAACCCAAAAAUUUUCAAAUCAAGAUUAUAAUUUCAACAAUCUAGUAAUGUGUGUGAUGUCAAUAAAAAUAAAAAUUUUAUUUGCACAUAUUUGAGUUGCCAUCUUAAGUUGUUACUUUGAUCAUCCUUCAUACCUUUUGGAUUAGCCCAAUUGUCUUUAAGAGAAAUCUAAUGAAAAUCCAACUGCCUAACAAAUACUUCAAUAGGACAAUUUAAGCAAAUAAGUAGAUGCCUUACCUCUCGUGGCCAACCAUCAACAACAAACACAUCCAAAGAAAACCCAUCAACAGUGGAAAAAGCAUGAGCUUCUUGAAUGUUCAAUCCAAUCUCCGCAACCAAGAAGGUCAACUCACUAAGGAGUUUUGGCCUAUCAACUGUUGAAAAAGUGAUCUCGUGCAUAGGCCGAGAAAGAUGUGAUACUGAAUUUACUGCACUAUCUCCAUCUUCCAGACGAUAUCUGCUGGCUUGAAAUGCAAAUGCUUCAAGAGUAGGUGUUGAGCCAAAUGUAGGUGGUGGAUGGACACUCUGUCUGCUUGGCAUAUAAGAACUUUGUGCAUCUUCUUUCAUUGCACAAUCUGAAAGGAUAGAAUCAAAAGACAUUUCAUUGAGGACAGGAUAAACCUGCACAAGACGAACUUCAAAUGCAGGUCGAUUAGCAGGAUCUUCCGCCAACUGCAAUAGUCUCUUAUGCGUAAGCACAUCUUCUGCUCUCUCCACAUUCACAUCCAAUGCAUAUCUCGCAGGUAAUCGAUUGAAAUGGAGCCAAAGCUGAUCAUCAAAGCCAGGAAGAUUCGCCUCUUCAUAAUUGAACUCCUGGAUUCGCCUAAGCACCUCGUUAUACACCUCUAGCUUUUGCAUAUGGUGUCGAGGAUUCGCCUGCGAGUACGACUCCACUGCUCUACUUCCACAGCUCUCUACGUCCUCUUCAAUCGCCAUUAUUUGGAUAAAGAAACGACAACUCGCUCAAACCAGUAAAGCAAAAUAAAAUAAUAAUUAAAAUUGUAGUAAAAAUGAAUUAAGAGAGCUCAAUCAAAAAAAGGUGGAUCGCACAUGGCGGUGGCAGUUGCGGUGGUUGUUGUGGCGGUGGUGGAUGAAUUCGACAAAUAGAAGAGGGAAAGGGAGAGCUCAACAACAAAAGGCCGAAUGGUGAUGCUUUUUUUUUUUUUU
rnacentral:misc_RNA from 1 species